ACGAACGCUGGCGGCGUGCUUAACACAUGCAAGUCGAACGGAAAGGCCCUGCUUUUGUGGGGUGCUCGCGUGGCGAACGGGUGAGUAACACGUGAGUAACCUGCCCUUGACUUUGGGAUAACUUCAGGAAACUGGGGCUAAUACCGGAUAGGAUCUCCUGCUGCAUGGUGGGGGUUGGAAAGUUUCGGCGGUUGGGGAUGGACUCGCGGCUUAUCAGCUUGUUGGUGGGGUAGUGGCUUACCAAGGCUUUGACGGGUAGCCGGCCUGAGAGGGUGACCGGCCACAUUGGGACUGAGAUACGGCCCAGACUCCUACGGGAGGCAGCAGUGGGGAAUAUUGCACAAUGGGCGGAAGCCUGAUGCAGCAACGCCGCGUGCGGGAUGACGGCCUUCGGGUUGUAAACCGCUUUCGCCUGUGACGAAGCGUGAGUGACGGUAAUGGGUAAAGAAGCACCGGCUAACUACGUG
rnacentral:rRNA from 1 species